rnacentral:rRNA from 1 species
GAUGAACGCUGGCGGCGUGUCUAAUACAUGCAAGUCGAGCGAACGGACGAGAAGCUUGCUUCUCUGAUGUUAGCGGCGGACGGGUGAGUAACACGUGGAUAACCUACCUAUAAGACUGGGAUAACUUCGGGAAACCGUAGCUAAUACCGGAUAAUAUUUUGAACCGCAUGGUUCAAAAGUGAAAGACGGUCUUGCUGUCACUUAUAGAUGGAUCCGCGCUGCAUUAGCUAGUUGGUAAGGUAACGGCUUACCAAGGCAACGAUGCAUAGCCGACCUGAGAGGGUGAUAGGCCACACUGGAACUGAGACACGGUCCAGACUCCUACGGGAGGCAGCAGUAGGGAAUCUUCCGCAAUGGGCGAAAGCCUGACGGAGCAACGCCGCGUGAGUGAUGAAGGUCUUCGGAUCGUAAAACUCUGUUAUUAGGGAAGAACAUAUGUGUAAGUAACUGUGCACAUCUUGACGGUACCUAAUCAGAAAGCCACGGCUAACUACGUG